rnacentral:rRNA from 1 species
UACGUAGGUGGCGAGCGUUGUCCGGAUUUACUGGGCGUAAAGGGAGCGUAGGCGGACUUUCAAGUGAGAUGUGAAAUACUCGGGCUCAACUUGAGUGCUGCAUUUCAAACUGGAAGUCUAGAGUGCAGGAGAGGAGAAUGGAAUUCCUAGUGUAGCGGUGAGAUGCGUAGAGAUUAGGAAGAACACCAGUGGCGAAGGCGAUUCUCUGGACUGUAACUGACGCUGAGGCUCGAAAGCGUGGGGAGCAAACAGG